GAUCCGGUGGCGAAGUGGAAACGCGGGUGUCUGCAAAACAUCUAUGCGCGGGUUCAAUUCCCGCCCGGAUCU
rnacentral:tRNA from 1 species